rnacentral:rRNA from 1 species
UAUGAGUGGCGAACGGGUGAGUAACACGUGAGUAACCUGCCUCUUCUUUGGGAUAACGCCCGGAAACGGGUGCUAAUACUGGAUAUUCACUGGCCUUCGCAUGGGGGUUGGUGGAAAGGUUUGUUCUGGUGGGGGAUGGGCUCGCGGCCUAUCAGCUUGUUGGUGGGGUGAUGGCCUACCAAGGCUUUGACGGGUAGCCGGCCUGAGAGGGUGACCGGUCACAUUGGGACUGAGAUACGGCCCAG